AAAGUGCCCAGUGUUGAGUUUUUUGCCAAGGUUUUCUAUAUGUUUGAUCCAAUUUAGGUCGGUAUCUAUUGUUAUGCCAAGAAAUUUCAGCUGCCCUUCAAUACUGACAUCAGGAAUGUCUGGGACUUCUAGUGCUCUUCUUGCAAAAGCAAUCUGAUUAGUCUUUGAUGGAUUUAUUACAAGAUCAUUUCCAUAGCAAUACUGGAUGGCCAUGUUGAGUGCUAUGUAAGAUGAGACGGCAAGACUAUCUGCAGAUUGUUGGUUCAGGAGUAGAGUGGUGUCGUCGGCAUACAUAAGAGGUGUGCAAUGAUUUCCUAGGUGUUUGGGGAAGGUCAUUAGUGAAAAGUAUGAAAAUGACUGGUCCUAAUAUGGAGCCUUGUGGCACACCUCUCAGCACUGGAAGAGCUUUUGACAUGAUUGCCUUUGUAAUGCCGUUUGACGAGUGGUUGAGCUCAACUAGUUGUGUAUGAUCCUUUAAGUAGCUAACAAACCAAUCAUUCGCUGUCCCUUUUAUCCCAAGCAGUUUUCUAGUUUCUUCAGAAUAAUGUUGUGGCUGAGGCAGUCAAAUGCUUUGCUUAAGUCAAGAAACAAGGCUGUGGUUAAUUUUCCCUCUUCAAUGGUAUCUGUGACAGAAUCAAUUAGUUUGAUCAAUGCCGUAGUAGUUGAUUUCCCUUUUGUAAAUACAUGUUGGUUUUUAUUUAGCAGGUUGUGCUGCACACACUGAUCAAGGAGUCUUUGGAAAACGAUUCUUUCACAUAGUUUUGAGAAUAUUGGAAUUAGUGAAAUUGAUCUAUAAUUGUUCACAUCAUGUUUGCAACCAGUUUUAAAUUUAGAGAAAACUUUGGAAAUUUUUAGUUUUGAGGGAAACUUUUGUUCUUUAAAAGAUUUGUUGAAUAUGGUAACCAAUGGUAGAGCCAGUUCACCAGCACAGAAUUUUAGUACUUUGGAAGAUAUUUCAUCAAUACCUGCUGAGUUUUUUUAUUUAAGUUUCCUGAUUGUGUCUUUAACCUCUUUGAUGCUUGUUUCAGUUAUUGUUUCCCUUAAUGCAAUAAACACAUACAGUACAUAUAUUGUUCAGGAUAACAUCAGAAAGGACUAGUCUAUUGUUUUGGAGGGGUGGAAGAUAACUGGAGCGUCAUCGCGUCACCCCGCGCCCUGGCCCAAGUCUUCCAGUCACAUUUCAUGUUAAUUUACCUCAGAUUUUAUAACCGACUGAAACUCUUGCCCGUUUUUCAUUUUCAACUAUCUCUUUAUUAUAUAUUAUGUUUACUUAGUACAAUGAACAAAAAAACAUGGUUACAAUUAUGAUAACACAAUUUAAGUUGUAUUAAUUCAAAGGUUUUAUCAGAACUAUUACAAAUAUCUCUAAUAACUAAACAGAGUAGUUUUCUUUCUUAAAACUGAGAUUUCUCGAUAGUAAUGAAACUAACUUAGGAGUUAGAAAAGCCCUUCCAAUUUCUAAAUUACAAUUUAAAGUUGUCAGAAAGGCAGACUGAUUCUCUGUGCCACACCUUCAAAUUUCAUUGAUCACUUAGCAUAAUUAGGAGCACUGGUGAUCUAUCUAUUCUGUGCCGCACCCCUUUUUUUUAUCAGUUAACGACAAUAGAGGUGCCGAAUUCGUUCGUGCCCCAUGCAGUUACAUGGGCCUCAGACCAGCCCUGUACUUAUAUUCACAUACAAGCUUGCAUGCUUGAUUGUUUGUGCUUAUUCUAAUCACUUGAAACUAUUUGAAUUAGAAAGAGUGGUAAUGUGUUUUUUUAGUGGGUUAACUGAACUAUUUCAGUCUUUCUCUAUCUUUAUAUUUUCUUUAGAAUGUCAAUCUUUUGAACAUUAUCGAUGUGAUAGUCAGGCCACAUGAAUCAAUAAGUUUGUGUUAAAAAAAUAUUAAAAUAUAAAAUAAUGUUUCAUUUGGUAAUACAAAAAUUAGUAUUGUCUGCUUUUUCACCCUAAUUAUUACACAUUAUAUUUUACAUAAUUGUAUACGGAAAACACCCAAACAGGUCGCUUGUGAAUGAAUCUCUUUGAAAAAUGUCUUACACAAAAGUUCACUGCGAAAUGUCGCUACUUGUGUAAUUUCUUGGAGUAACUUAAGUGGUUUUUAUUUCACAACCAUCAGGUUAAUAGUGUUUUAUAAACAGCCAAUUCCUCUUUGAACUUAGUAAUAUAAACCCAGUGUUUCUUUAUCUGAGCAGGGUAAUGAGAGUUUAAAAACUAUUGUAGGCUAAUCAACUGUUAAUCUCUGAAGUUCCAAGAAGUUCUUUUCUUUUUGGAGCCAUUGCACUUGGCCACAAAGCAGUGGUAUAGGAUGAAAUCUAAUAUAAAUGAUCAGUCUCAACGUUUGCCUUAUUAUAUCAAUGAGGACCAAGUGCUUCGAUAUUAGCAGCCCACCAAUAUUUUUUGGCUUAAGCAUGACAUACUCAGGCCAAUAUAAUGUGAAAGCAUGUGUUUACAGUGUAUAAACUGCCAAAACAGCUUUAGGAGUGACAGCACAGCUGUCUGCAGUAUGCGAAGAACAAAAUCACACAAGAUAUUCAUGCUAUCAAUAUCAAUGAAUAUGUCUACAAAUUAAAAAGUGAAAUUGAAUAGUGACAAGCCUACAUAGUAUAGAAGCAUCAUCCAGGAUCAACAAGCUUAAACACUGUUUAUUAAACACUUAUGUAUGGCUGCUCCAGGCUUCAAGUCAGUGUAUUUUCCAAAAGCUGAAGAAACAGGUGAGCACAGCAAGUUGGGAUUAACUCAUAGCGGACAAGAAUGACCCCUUAAUAUCCACAUGGAAGGGAGAGCUCUUAUUGAUUCACUCAUUCAGACUUUGACUAAAACUUAGUAUGGGAGUGCAGGAAUGCUCUAAAAGAACUGACGAAACGGAAAAAAUUCAUCCUUGCCUGGGAGCCAAGUUAUAAAGGCAUUCCUGGGAAUAAAACUGCUGAUGCUGGCCAAGAUAAGCUUUGGAAGUCUUUUGGUAGGACCAGAGCAGGGGGCUUUGGAGUAGACUUCUCCUACAGAAAAGUUCUAGUAAAUACCUGGGAAAAGAGGGUCAGAUCCUAGGCACAGAGAAAGACGUCAGGCAAUAAAAAAAUCUUUAUCUCCCUGUAUGCUAAAGGAUGGGCUGGGCUCCUAGACCUAAUUAAGAAGGAUAUACAACUAGUAUUUGGUAUGCUAAUAGAACUUUACCCUCUUUGGAAACAUCUGAUGAAGGUGAGUUUAAGCCAGCCUGAUGAAAGCAGACCAUGAAGAGACAGAAAAAUCAGCAUCAUAGUAUAUAUGGCUAAACCAUUCUGCUGUUGUACUUGUAUGGUGAGCACUUCUCCAACUAAAUUUUUUAACUUUUGAUGAAAUGUGGGUUUACAGUUAUGAGCCAGAAUUUAAAAGGAAAAACAUGGAGUUGGAAACACACCAGCUCUCACCUAUCAAGAAAAACAUUCAAAACGCAAGCGAGAAAAGCCAUGUUGCUUACGUUUUGAGAUGAUCAUGGUAUGGUUUUUGUGAUGGCCUUGAACAGUUUAGAAUAAAUAGUCCAUAUUACUCAAAUAUACUUUUGAAGAAGAUGAAGCUCUGGCUAUAAGAGAGAAACACCGUGAACCUCAGAGGAGAGGUAUGGUUUUCCAGCAAGACAAUACAUGUACACACACUACUCAACUAAAAUGUAAAUCACUCGAAAAAAUGGACUGGGACCUACUAAUUAAUCCCGCUUACAGCCCUAAUGUAACACAAUGUGAUUUCCAUUGGUUUGGUUCACUGAAGAAGGCAUUACAUGGGAAGAAGUUCCAGGAUUACAAGGAUGUCCAAAAAAUUUGUGGGAAAUUUACUCAACCACAAAGACAAAGUUCUUUGCUGCCUAUAAACAAGAAGCUAGUAGACAGGUGCAUUUGUGUUGGUGGAGAUUAUGUUGAAAAGUAAGGGAAGUCCUGUUUUGUAAGAUAAUAAAGUUUUUUGGAGACCAA